AUUCUGGGGAAGGAGCAGCACCAAAUCCAAGAUGGCGGCCAGCAGGAGGCUGAUGAAGGUAAAAGCCAUUCUCUGGCAGCGGCCGGGCGUGGGGCGGCGUCCUAGGCUCCGGAUCCCCGAGGCAGGCGGCGGCUUCUCAGGGCGCUGCCGUCUGGCUUCCUGCCCUACACGGCCUCGUCGGUUCCCUGGGCCGCGCGCAGGCUCAAGGUGCUAACGGGGCUGGCCUAGGCCGCAGCCUGGGCGGGAGCGCAAGGCCGCGCUGGGAGCCGCUGUCGGCCCCUCAGCCCGGCCCGGGGCGUUCACGCCACUCUCCGCCCGGAGCUUGGCCGCGUCCCCCUGUCGCGGAGGCCGCGGUCCGAUCUGAGGGCGUCGUUAAUGUGAGAGCCCGGUUGGGAGGCUCCAAACCGGGCGCCUUCGGGGAAGGCCCGAGCGCCGGAGCCCCUGCCCGGAGCCCGCGCCGCGGAACCGCCCCGCCCUGGGCCGCAGCGCGCCGGGCUUGCAGCUCCGCUUGGCCCGGCCGCAGCUCGGGAGUCUGGGAGGUUCGGGCUAGGAAAGAGAGAAGGAGGCCAGGCGGCCAAAGUUAGGUCAGUUUGUUGGUGGGUCGUUUGGAAUUGCGCUGGGUCCUAGCAAACUGUCGCCUUGUGACUGCAGAGUCACACAGCGGGAGCUUGAAGAAAUCCGCAAAUGUGGGAUGAAAAACUUCCGUAACAUCCAGGUUGAUGAAGCUAAUUUAUUGACUUGGCAAGGGCUUAUUGUUCCUGACAACCCUCCAUAUGAUAAGGGAGCCUUCAGAAUCGAAAUCAACUUUCCAGCAGAGUACCCAUUCAAACCACCGAAGAUCACAUUUAAAACAAAGAUCUAUCACCCAAACAUCGACGAAAAGGGGCAGGUCUGUCUGCCAGUAAUUAGUGCCGAAAACUGGAAGCCAGCAACCAAAACCGACCAAGUAAUCCAGUCCCUCAUAGCACUGGUGAAUGACCCCCAGCCUGAGCACCCGCUUCGGGCUGACCUAGCUGAAGAAUACUCUAAGGACCGUAAAAAAUUCUGUAAGAAUGCUGAAGAGUUUACAAAGAAAUAUGGGGAAAAGCGACCUGUGGACUAAAAUCUGCCACGAUUGGUUCCAGCAAGUGUGAGCAGAGACCCCGUGCAGUGCAUUCAGACACCCCGCAAAGCAGGACUCUGUGGAAAUUGACACGUGCCACCGCCUGGCGUUCGCUUGUGGCAGUUACUAACUUUCUACAGUUUUCUUAAUCAAAAGUGGUCUAGGUAACCUGUAAAGAAAGGAUUAAAAAUUUAAGAUGUUCUAGUUCUGCUCUCUUUGUUUUAAAAAUCACUGCUUCAAUCUACUUCAAAAGAAUGGUGUUUCUUUUCUUGUCCAAUUUUAUCCAAAAUCUUCAAGUUACAUUUAACCCAUAAGGUUUAAAAAAAAGGAAAAAAAACGGUUGUGGUUCCCUUUCUUCCCUACCCUUGCCACUCCCACUUUCUGGCACCGAGUUUAUUUUUCACUUACUUACUUCCCCAGACCCCGGGCUCGCCUCCACAAAGGAGAAGAGACUGCCCUGGCGGUCCUGGUGGCUUUUCUUAGCAUGUGUGGCACUGUUGCCCAGUGUGGGAGUUGGUUUAAAUUCUCCUGACUCCAGUUUAUAACAUCCUUUUAAAAAAUUUAAAAACAAACAGCCACACCCCUCCUCCAGUCCUUCUCCUCAGUUCUUGUGUGAAACUCCAGCUGAUGUUACCACAGUAACAUCAGUUAAUUGGGCAAGCCCUGAUGUCAGUGUGUGUAACUGACCUCUGGCCUGGCCUGCACAGAGAAGCCCUAUAAUCACAGGUCUGUGGUGGCCCCGAAAUGGGGGGCCUGCUAGUCAGGAGGAUGCUGUGCACACUGUGUGUGAUGAAUCUCGCCAGAAAGGCUCCUGAGGUCCCAGGUUGGCACUUCUCCCUGCAGCCAUUGUAGAAGAUCUGCUGGUCCUUGCAGGCAAAGCUACAGCCAGAAUGUCCGUUUGAAACUCCUAGCUCAUCUGUCACCGAGCUUCAUCCGAAUGUGCCACGGAGCUUGCUCUCCACUUCCUCCGUGCAGUGGCCCUGCCACAGCCCUCCCUCGGCACACUUUGACCCUUUGUAGGAUUGGAAUUAGCAGGACUCGGCUAUUUAAAGCACCAGUCUGGGGUCGCCUGGGCCCCUGCUGACCCCCUCCUCCAGAGCAGCCAGCCCAGCCCGGGAACAAGACGGACUUCCUCUCCCUUCGGACUCACAGCCUUUGCAGAGUCAAGCUCCACUUGAAGCUCACUCAGUAAUAUCCUUUCAAUGUGUUUUAUAUUGUUUUGACUGCCUUUUUUUGUAGAAAUAAAAAUUGACCUUAGAAUUUAUCGUCAGAUAAACUUGUAAAGAUUUGAAUAUUAAUGUCUUUUCAAGGCAAAUGGGAUUGUCCCCGCACUAGUAGAGAAUCCAUGUCGCUCUGACACCCCAAGGAAGCCGACGAUCCAAAUGCCGUGUGUCACCAACCCCGCUUCUGCCACUGGCGGCUUCCCUUCUUGGCUCUUGGGGGGGACUAGAUCCUGUGGAGAAGAUGACUUAAACUUUGCUUUUUGUUUUAAUUUUAAUUCUAUAACUUGAGAUCUUUCCGGGGCCUACAGGCGUGUAAGACAGCUUGGUCUGGUCUGUGCAGAAGUGGGGAGUGAUGGGCAGGUUCGGCAGCCUAACAUUGUUCAGGCGCAUGGCCCCUGCGGUGUGUACACGAACUCGGCUUCUUUUGUCCUAGGUACGCCAAGGGCAGGUUUCUGGAGACUCCCUUGUGCCCGGGAUGGCAAGGGCACCGGGCUGGCGUUUCCACAUCUGUCUUCAUUAGCAGAAAAGUGAUGAUGGAUUUUAUUUCACUCACACUCCAGUUUGUAAUAAAAUGCCAAAUUCUGUCAGCUAUCCAAACAAGCCACCAUUUGUUCUUGUUGCUUCUCUGGAUCCAGAAAUGUUGCCAUUCUUGGAAACUGUCCCAUUGCUUCGUAUUUCUGCCAACGUAGCUCUGCCUGCCUGUCAACCCCUCACUGCACUCUGCUCAUCACGGGAGGAUACCUGUGUGCCGGCAGCCCCUCAGGGACUCUCAGCCCUGGCACUGGCACCCCAGGGUUGGCCCCGUCAGCAGAGGCUUGGCUUUCGAGCCAGUGGGUGUCUCUCCUUUGGGCCUGGGCGGCUUGCUCCUGCCAGCCAUGCCUUCAGGGUAGGCUCUGAGCAAGCUGGCGAACAGCCCUGGCUGCUCCAAAACCAAAAAGCUGGGUCCUCUGGAGGAGGGGCGAGCUGUGGAGCAGCCACCCACUGCUGCCCCAAGCUCACUCAGGAAUUCACACCCGCCUGGUUUCUUGAAGUGUGCUGGGUCCUUCCCUCUGCUCCCUACUCCCCACCACGGCAGAGAAUAGGCUUUCUAAGAUGCUGCGAUCCCGUUCUGCUGCCCGUAAUAAAAAUGCUCUCAGACACUG